UGACUGCAGAUGGACACUCUCUCAGCUCUCAUGGUUCCACUAAUGCUCCUGUUGUUCCAUCUGUCUGAAGCACCAUCGGAUCUGAUCGUGGUAUCAGUGCACCCUGGAGAGGAUGCCAUUUUGCCAUGCAGGGCCGCUGACGUCUCCAUCAGAGCUGUAGAGUGGACCAGACCUGACCUGGAACCAGAGUACGUCCUCUUCUACAGAGAUGGACACUUGGACACAACCCACCAGCAUCUAUCCUAUAAGGACAGAGUGCAGCUGCUGGACAGACAUCUGAAGGAUGGAGAUGUGUCUUUAAUUCUGAAGAAUGUGAGGAGACAAGACAGAGGAACAUACGAGUGUUGAGUAGCAUCAGUUGGUUUCACACGUACAAAGAGAGCAAUCCUUGACUCGGAGCCAAUCAGAACCAUCAAACUGCAGAUUACAGGUUUAAACAGUGGAAACUCCAAGGAUGAAAACUCAACUCCUGUAGGCCUAUACAUUGGAUUGGGAGUAUUUUUUGCACUGCUUUUUUAACUGGACAGUUAAUGGUGGACAGAUGGCUAUUUCAGUUAGAUUGGAUUAGAUUAGAUUAGAUCAGAUUCAAUUUUAGUGUCAUUGUGCAGAGUACAAGUACGAAGACAACGAAAAGCAUUUUGCGUUCAACCAGAAGUGCAAAAAGAGCAGAAAAUUGCAAUGUGAUAUACUUAACAUGACCCACGUCUACAUUUACAACUCUGUAUUACAAAAAUUGCCGUUUACAACCAGUAAAGACAAAUAAAUAUGAAGACAAACCCUGGAUUACUAGGGGACUAGAAAAUGCUUGUAAAAAAAAGUUUUUUGGAACCAAACAGUAUGGGUAGACACUAUCUUGUGGACAAAAGAUCACAGAUUAAACUGACCUCUGAGAGACAAAAGAACAGAAUCUGCAGAAGAGGAAAACAACGUUUUCAACCAAGCUUGUUUUCACAUGCCCUUGGAAUCAACAAGCUUUUCCGCGCACCACUGACAAGUGGGUCGGAGUUUGUUCCAUUACCGUGGAGAAACACAAAUUAACGGACUGCACACCAAGUAAGCCUUUAUUGUUCUUGGCAUAGAUAUAGGACAGUAUGUUUUAUUAAUGAGUUAAGUCUAAUGUUGCCAUUGUUUUGCCAUUAGUCUGUGAUCGGGACUGCCGUGUCCCAGUUGCUGUGAAUGUAUCAUUUGAUCACAAUAUAUUGUUGAGAUGUUGUGUUGAAUAAUGUAGCUUAGUUAAACUGUAAAUGAUACCAUUGCUAUCUCCCGCUGUGGAGAAGUUAGAUUGUCAGAACCUCAAAGAUCAAGACUCCAAGUGCUCUUUGUUUCCCUAUCUAAGUGUGCUUUCUUUCCUACCCUAACCCUAACCCGGGGCACAUGGAAGGUUCUAAACAACAUUAUCAAAAAAGGUACUGGGAAAUCAAAUUAUCCAGACCACUUUAAUAAAAACAACCAAUCACUAAUAAUAGACACAAAGGAGACUAUAGCUGAAAACCUUUUCAAUUUGCGUCCUAUCAAAAGUGGUGAUGGCCCUUUCAGUUAUUACAGUAGACAUACAAGUUUACAGAAAAGACUAGGAUCCAAUUUGUCAGUGCCAGUGGACUUCCUUGGAUCAAUGUCACAGAGAGCAUUGAGCAGUUCAAGUCUUGAGAAGGGUGUAAAGGAGAAACUGCAUCCCAGGAUCCCCUGGCAUACUAGAUGACUUGUCACUUAAUGGAACAAUUAAGGGUGAAUUCUGGAAUACGUGGCCGGCAGUAACAAAGUGUUUAUUAAAGAUAUUGCAUAAGUCUUUCUUAUUAGAGACAGUGACAGAAUCCUAAGUACUCUGAUUGGGUAAGGAUGUGGAAGGGCUAUGAGUUAGUGACUUAAUGGCCCAAUCCAAGACUCACAGACUUAAUUUAUCUCAGGUGCUAAGUGAGUGAGUGGGUGAGGCCACAUGGGCUCAGAUAGGUAUAAAUGGGAUUGGGACAGCACUUCACGAGAUAACAUGUUACCUUGGCGCCAUUUAAUAACAAAGAUACUGCUGACACUGGCCGGUUUGGGAAUUUUCAUAGAAGAUUGGUUAGCACUGCAUAUUACGACUCGGUAAUAAGAUGGUAAUAGUGGGGUAACAGUGAGAUAAUAAAGAGGUAAUAUAUAGGUAAUAACAUGUAAUUACCAAAGUAAUAACGUGGUAAUACAUCACAGUAAUAAGAUGUAAUACUGGGGUAAUAAGAUAAGGUAACAGAUGUAAUAACAUGCAAUUACCAAUGUAAUAAGUAAGAAAGGGUUUGACAAUAACCAUAUGUAUAUCGAGUUAAUGGUAAUAUAGUUAUAUUUAUAUUCUAAUAACGUGGUAAUAAUGGGGUAAUAUAUGUUGAUGUUUUCACAGUAUUAUAGGCUACUAUCAGCGUAAUACCUUCCAAAUUAGAUAAAACUUCUUGGAAUUUAAAAUUGGUAAUAACCAUAUUAUAAUGCUGAAAUUCAUCCACCCUUUAUGUUCCAAACAUUUCCCUUUUGUUUCAAGGUAAUACUUUAUGUUAAUUUAUGUUAAUGAUGUUUAAUCUUGUGGCUUCUUACCUGGAAACGCUUCUGGUAGUUUGUGUGUAACAACCAUGAAUCAGUACCACAAAAUGCAAAACUGCCUGUUUCUAUUGUAUUACAUGGUAAUAUUA